CUGUUUCUUUCUCUGUUAUAUUGCUUUCUAUUUUAUUUGUUUUCUCUCUCUAAUCCUAAUUAACAUUUGUUGAUUAUCUCUAAUCAAUUUUUUUUUCUUCCUCAUUUUCUCUUUCAAACACUGGAAUACCGACUGGAAUUUUGUCUCUGGAUAUGAUCGUUUCUGUGGGAAUCUGAAUUUGGUUUUUUUUCUUUCAUUUUCAAAUUGUGUUAUUUGUCGGAAUCGAUCGAUCCUUUCCGAGAAACCUGAGCUGGAUAUCAAAAUCUGUGAAUUGUGAACAAAAUAUAUGUAACCUUUAUCAUUAUUAUUUUUCUCAAAUAUUCUUUGAGAUUUUUUAUUAUUAUAGAUUAGGUAGUACCUUAAAAAAAAAGAAAAAAAAAAAGAAUAGGGUUUUGUUUUGUUUUCUUCUUGGGUCUAGUUUCAACACGUUAGAUUCUUCUUGGGGUACCCCUCUUUACGUUUUGGCCACUGGCAGUAGGCCACGUAAGCUUAUUCCUCGUGGACUUGGUGCUAUUUAAUUUGUACACGAUGAAACGAAAAUUCUCCAAACUAUUCCCUUCACUGUGUUCUUCUUUGAAUUUCCUUAGUCUUCUGGUUUUUUUUUUUUUUUAAAAAUAUAUAUAUAAAUAGUUUAUGUAUCAUUUUCUUGUUAGAUUACCUCUUCAAAAUCCACAAACACUCGGAUCUCGAUCGAUCUGUGAUUAUUCUUCUGAGAAAAGCUGAGUGAUUGAGUCUGUUUAUGGAGAGAGAGAGAGAGAGACUUGAGCCUCGAUGAUGCUGCAAAGCCUUUUAAAGCAUUUUGAAAAGAGGCUGGUAGGUGUGGACGUCUCUGCACCGGAUAUUGUAAGAGGACGCUCGAUUGGCAUUACAUAGUCCUAUUGUAGUUCUGUGCAGACGUUCACAUGUAAACAGUUUUACACGUAGAAUACUUUGAAAACUUUCAUACCUUCGUUACAGAUACAAAUACAUGAACAGAUACGUGCCGUAUAUGCAUCCAUACCAAUAAAAUAUUAUAUUUUUCCUUACGAUUAUUGGAUACACAAAAAUACUUCUGUAUGGCAGGGCGCGACUUGGCGUGGACUCACAUUUGAACGACGUAAUGCAUGAGAACUAGUGGAGAUGCUCUAGAGAAAUUUCUGGACAAAAUUCUGAGUGGAUCUCUUGAUUUAAUUUUCGUUUGGAAAUCAUUAAUCAAUGAGGACCACAGAUAUACAAUUAGUUGCUUUGUUUAUUCUUUUUAUUUUUUUAUUUUUUUCAUCAUUGUAUAAAGUUGGUCCUAUUUUGUACAUAAAUUUAUUUCUUGCCAAGGCCACUCAUCAUCCUUCAUGUUGAGCAAGAACACGAAAACUGUCACAUGGGAAAUUAUGAGUACAUAACAAAACUAUGUCAAUCUGUGGGGUUGUAUAUAUUAAUUAUUGCAUAAAUGUUGCUAAACA